UCUAAAAAAAAAUAAAAAAAAUAAAGGUAUCAGGGGCACAUAAAGAUCCACAAAAAUGGCACCGAAAGCUGGAUUUCAAGAAAGGGGAAUCAACUGUCCAGUUAUGGAUUUUUAUAUAUAUUUCAAUAUUGUUAUGACCAUGGCCCUGCCAAGAGCCUCCUAGCCUAUUGCCAGCUACACCCUUCUUGCCUUUCAUUUAAAGGCAUUCAUGACCAUCACAGCAGUAAGUGUUAAGUGGAUAAAAAAAAAUCUGCAUAGAUGCUUAAAUGCAGAAAAUAUCCCCCCCUCUUGGCUUGAAGAAAAAAACAUAUGACAGGGAAUAUAUAAAAACUAAGAUCUGUACAUAUUUUCUGUCUGGGUGUACAAGGAUAAAAAUACUCAGAUAUUGUUGCAUUCCACAAAAUGGGGGAUAAAAGAGGGAUCUCAAUUAAGCAAAAGGUCCAAAGAUAGAAGGCUAUAAUCAUUAUAUUUAUAUGAUUAUUAUAAUUUUUAUUAUCGUGAUAUCUACAGCCAUUACCAGAUUACCUCUAUUGCUAAUUCUAAUCCUCUAUCGGUAAUUUUAAUAUACUGAUAUAUUUUUUUUCUUUUAACAACAGGGAAUAAUGUGCCAUGGGAAAUAUCAAUACUUACGAUGAGGAGGGGGAGGGGAAAGGAGUAGGUAAGGGUACUGGCCUAUCAGAACACCAAAAGCAGUUCUGAUGACUCAAGCAAAGGCAAGUGCCACUUAAGCAUCUAAGUGGAAAUGCAGCUUCUAUUGACGACAGUAUAUACCCUCCUGCAGGAGGAACAAAAUUUUCCAUGCCCCCCCUUACGCUCCCCCCAUAUUUUCGAUGCCUCCCCCUCCUGAUAAUAGAAGAAAGAAGGAGCAAAGAAAGGAACAGCAAUGCAAUGUAAAGGAACGCGAUCUGCAAGCUGGACAGAAAGUGGAGGGGAAGAAAUUGGCUGAAAACAUUAAUUCAGGAAAAAGUGAAGGCACUCAAUUUCUCAAAGAUGCGACUAACUCCAGGUUGCAACCUGAUAAUGGUUAAUGCUAUAGAUGACGUAAAAGUAACAAAAAGGCUUUUUGGUCUUCUCCUUGCAACAAAAAUGAAGCAUGAGAAAAAAGAAAAAAGAGAGAGAGAGAGGAAGACAGUGAAUCAGAUAUGAGCGGGGAUUUUGAUGAUGGAGAAUAAGUGCUUAUAGUAUUAAAAUGUUUUGUUUAUAUUUUGGAUAUGGGACAUAAGCACUUUAUAAUAUUAUAUAGCGGAAACCAUAAAAAGAUGUAUUUAGGGUGUAUACAAGUUUGCAUUGGGUAGAUAAAAUGUGGCUUCUGGACUACUGGAUUGUGCAUGCCAAAUAACUGCCCAAAAACCGAGACAAGUUAAACGAAUAAGUCUGAUUAGAUACUUCGUCAAAUUACAUAGUAGAGACAACACCCAAAGGAAUCAGUGACCCUCCUUUUAAAAUCCAAACACUUUCAAUGCCCCCACUUUAGACCUAAAAAAAUUCUCGAGGACCCCCGACAGUAUCCUCAUGCCCCUUCCUCGGGAUAAUAAAUUAACUUUCCCUAAGGGAUAGCACUUUAGAGGUGAUUCUUACCCCUAAGAGAUAGGGAAUUGGGUGUUGUUUAAGGAAUUGUUAACCCAAGAGAAAGCAGAAUUGGAAAAAAACAUUAAACACCCCCUAAAGAAUA